GGGACAGUAGUCUAGCUGGUAUUUCUGCCCGUUACCUAGCCGAGUGGUCGGGAGUUCAAAUCUUCCCUGUCCCACCA
rnacentral:tRNA from 1 species